GUAGUCCACCCCGUAAACGUUGGGAACUAGUUGUGGGGGCCUUUCCACGGUCUCCGUGACGCAGCUAACGCAUUAAGUUCCCCGCCUGGGGAGUACGGCCGCAAGGCUAAAACUCAAAGGAAUUGACGGGGACCCGCACAAGCGGCGGAGCAUGCGGAUUAAUUCGAUGCAACGCGAAGAACCUUACCAAGGCUUGACAUACACCGGAAACGUCCAGAGAUGGUCGCCCCUUUUUGGUCGGUGUACAGGUGGUGCAUGGUUGUCGUCAGCUCGUGUCGUGAGAUGUUGGGUUAAGUCCCGCAACGAGCGCAACCCUCGUUCUAUGUUGCCAGCACGUUAUGGUGGGAACUCAUGGGAUACUGCCGGGGUCAACUCGGA
rnacentral:rRNA from 1 species